AGGUUAUUGACAAAGUGCCCGCAGCGGUGAAAACAGGUAGAUCAUAAAGACGCCGUAUUUCUUUUGUUAAAACAAGCGUCCCUGAUGGCUCGAUCCGCGCCUUCCCUGGCGCGGACGCUUU
rnacentral:ncRNA from 1 species